rnacentral:misc_RNA from 1 species
UCUGUGGCCGCCGGCUCGAGACCUGGGCUUUCCGGAUUUGAUGACCCGGGUUUCCCAAUCAGGAUCGGCGAGAAUUCGGCGGGGGGAGGAAUCAGAGGUGGAAGAAGAAGAAUGAGGGGAGUGAAGGAAGAAGAGGAGGAUAAGGCCAAGGAAAAUGCAGGUCCAGAAGACAAAUUUGGUGAUGGAAAAAUGGUAACGAAAGCGAUUCAUGUAAAUGGGUUUGUCCAUUGUUGGAGUUGCGUUGAGAGUAAAUGUUGCUGUAGAGUUUGAUCGGUGUGGGUUUUGGGAUUUGAGGGAAGAGUUUGAUG